CCUACGGGUGGCUGCAGUGGGGAAUGUUGGACAAUGGGCGAAAGCCUGAUCCAGCCAUGCCGCGUGUGUGAAGAAGGCCUUCGGGUUGUAAAGCACUUUCAGUGGGGAAGAAAGCCUUGGGGCUAAUACCCUCGAGGAAGGACAUCACCCACAGAAGAAGCACCGGCUAACUCCGUGCCAGCAGCCGCGGUAAUACGGAGGGUGCGAGCGUUAAUCGGAAUUACUGGGCGUAAAGCGCGCGUAGGCGGUCUGAUAAGCCGGUUGUGAAAGCCCCGGGCUCAACCUGGGAACGGCAUCCGGAACUGUCAGGCUAGAGUGCAGGAGAGGAAGGUAGAAUUCCCGGUGUAGCGGUGAAAUGCGUAGAGAUCGGGAGGAAUACCAGUGGCGAAGGCGGCCUUCUGGACUGACACUGACGCUGAGGUGCGAAAGCGUGGGUAGCAAACAGGAUUAGAUACCCUUGUAGUC
rnacentral:rRNA from 1 species